GUUAAGCAUCCGACUUCGGCUCAGGUCAUGAUCUCAUGGCUCACAAGUUCAAGCGCCGCGUUGGGCUCAGUGCUGACAGCUCAGAGCCUGGAGCCUGCUUUGGAUUCUGUGUCUCCGUCUCUCUCUGCCUCUCCCCUGCUCUCACUCUGUCUCUGUCUC